rnacentral:rRNA from 1 species
GCAGGCUUAACACAUGCAAGUCGAGGGGUAUAUGUCUUCGGAUAUAGAGACCGGCGCACGGGUGCGUAACGCGUAUGCAAUCUACCUUUUACAGAGGGAUAGCCCAGAGAAAUUUGGAUUAAUACCUCAUAGUAUAGCUCUACCGCAUGGUAGUACUAUUAAAGUCACAACGGUAAAAGAUGAGCAUGCGUCCCAUUAGCUAGUUGGUAAGGUAACGGCUUACCAAGGCAACGAUGGGUAGGGGUCCUGAGAGGGAGAUCCCCCACACUGGUACUGAGACACGGACCAGACUCCUACGGGAGGCAGCAGUGAGGAAUAUUGGACAAUGGGCGCAAGCCUGAUCCAGCCAUGCCGCGUGCAGGAUGACGGUCCUAUGGAUUGUAAACUGCUUUUGUACGAGAAGAAACACUGCUUCGUGAAGCAGCUUGACGGUAUCGUAAGAAUAAGGAUCGGCUAACUCCGUGCCAGCAGCCGCGGUAAUACGGAGGAUCCAGGCGUUAUCCGGAAUCAUUGGGUUUAAAGGGUCCGUAGGCGGUUUAGUAAGUCAGUGGUGAAAGCCCAUCGCUCAACGGUGGAACGGCCAUUGAUACUGCUGAACUUGAAUUAUUAGGAAGUAACUAGAAUAUGUAGUGUAGCGGUGAAAUGCUUAGAGAUUACAUGGAAUACCAAUUGCGAAGGCAGGUUACUACUAAUUGAUUGACGCUGAUGGAC